UGUUCAGAGGUGAAUACAGUCCACUGGGCAACGGACAGUGAUUCUGGCCUCAAGAUCCAAUCACCUGGAGAGAGGUGCAAGGGAACUUGGUCUCAG